AUUGAACGCUGGCGGCAUGCCUUACACAUGCAAGUCGAACGGCAGCGGGCCUUCGGGUGCCGGCGAGUGGCGAACGGGUGAGUAAUGCAUCGGAACGUGCCAUUGAGUGGGGGGAUAACGUAGCGAAAGUUACGCUAAUACCGCAUAUUCUGUGAGCAGGAAAGCAGGGGACCGCAAGGCCUUGCGCUCUUUGAGCGGCCGAUGUCAGAUUAGCUAGUUGGUGAGGUAAAGGCUUACCAAGGCGACGAUCUGUAGCGGGUCUGAGAGGAUGAUCCGCCACACUGGAACUGAGACACGGUCCAGACUCCUACGGGAGGCAGCAGUGGGGAAUUUUGGACAAUGGGCGCAAGCCUGAUCCAGCCAUGCCGCGUGAGUGAAGAAGGCCUCGGUGUAAG
rnacentral:rRNA from 1 species